CCAGCAGCCGCGGUAAUUCCAGCUCCAAUAGCGUAUAUUAAUGCUGUUGCGGUUAAAAAGCUCGUAGUUGGAUGUCGGCGGGUCGGGCGCGGUUCGGUGUUUGCCGUUUACUGCGCCGCUUUGAUCCCGUGAUCUUGUUUGACGGAGGUUCGCCGGUGCUCUUAACCGAGUGUCGGCGGGUGCCGUCAGGUUUACUUUGAAAAAAUUAGAGUGCUCAAAGCAGGCUUUACACGCUUGAAUAUUCGUGCAUGGAAUAAUGGAAUAGGAUGUCGUUUCUAUUUUGUUGGUUUUCGGAAAUCGACAUAAUGAUAAAUAGGGACAGUCGGGGGCAUUCGUAUUCAGAC
rnacentral:rRNA from 1 species